rnacentral:rRNA from 1 species
CAAUAGCGUAUAUUAAAGUUGUUGCGGUUAAAAAGCUCGUAGUUGGAUUUCUGCCGAGGACGACCGGUCCGCCCUCUGGGUGAAUAUCUGGUUCGACCUGGGCAUCUUCUUGGAGAACGUGGCUGCACUUGAUUGUGUGGUGCGGUAUCCAGGACUUUUACUUUGAGAAAAUUAGAAUGUUUCAAGCAGGCACACGCCUUGAAUACAUUAGCAUCGAAUAAUAAGAUAGGACCUCGGUUCUAUUUUGUUGGUUUCUAGAACUGAGGUAAUGAUUAAUAGGGAUAGUUGGGGGCAUUCGUAUUUAAUUGUCAGAGGUGAAAUUCUUGGAUUUAUGAAAGACGAACUACUGCGAAAGCAUUUACCAAAGAUGUUUUCAUUAAUCAAGAACGAAAGUUAGGGGAUCGAAGAUGAUCAGAUACCAU